UACGUAGGGGGCGAGCGUUGUCCGGAUUCAUUGGGCGUAAAGAGCUCGUAGGCGGUCAGUCGCGUCUGCUGUGAAAACUCGGGGCUUAACCCCGGGCCUGCAGUGGGUACGGGCUGACUAGAGUGCGGUAGGGGAGACUGGAAUUCCUGGUGUAGCGGUGAAAUGCGCAGAUAUCAGGAGGAACACCGGUGGCGAAGGCGGGUCUCUGGGCCGUAACUGACGCUGAGGAGCGAAAGCGUGGGGAGCGAACAGG
rnacentral:rRNA from 1 species